GGACUAAGUCGUAACAAGGU
rnacentral:rRNA from 2 species